rnacentral:rRNA from 1 species
GAUGAACGCUGGCGGCGUGCCUAAUACAUGCAAGUCGAGCGAACAGAUGAGGAGCUUGCUCCUCUGACGUUAGCGGCGGACGGGUGAGUAACACGAGGAUAACCUACCUAUAAGACUGGGAUAACUUCGGGAAACCGGAGCUAAUACCGGAUAAUAUAUUGAACCGCAUGGUUCAAUAGUGAAAGACGGUUUUGCUGUCACUUAUAGAUGGAUCCGCGCCGCAUUAGCUAGUUGGUAAGGUAACGGCUUACCAAGGCAACGAUGAGUAGCCGACCUGAGAGGGGGAUCGGCCACACUGGCACUGAGACACGGUCCAGACUCCUACGGGUGGCCGCAGUAGGGAAUCUUCCGCAAUGGGCGAAAGCCUGACGGAGCAACGCCGCGUGAGUGAUGAAGGUCUUCGGAUCGUAAAACUCUGUUAUUAGGGAAGAACAAAUGUGUAAGUAACUAUGCACGUCUUGACGGUACCUAAUCAGAAGGCCGCGGCUAACUACGUG